UACAGAGGUCCCAAGCGUUGUUCGGAUUCACUGGGCGUAAAGGGUGCGUAGGCGGGCCAGUAAGUGUCUCGUGAAAUCCCAUGGCUCAACCAUGGAACCGCGGGGCAUACUGCUGGUCUUGAGGAAGCUAGAGGCUGGUGGAACGAUAGGUGGAGCGGUGGAGUGCGUAGAUAUCUAUCGGAACGCCGAAGGUGAAGACAGCCAGCUGGGGCUUUCCUGACGCUCAGGCACGAAAGCGUGGGGAUCAAACAGG
rnacentral:rRNA from 1 species